rnacentral:SRP_RNA from 1 species
UCAUACUAGCCGGGGUGGUAGCGGUACCUUGUACCUGAAAUCCGCUAUAGCAGGGGUGACGCCAUGCGUAAGGGAGUUCUCUGUGCAGUCCAGCCCUGCCGUAGUCGUGAUGAAGGAUGGGUCCUGUGCGACCGGAAACUGUGAACCAUGUCAGGUGGGGAACCAAGCAGCAUUAAGCAGUCCAUUCGGUGUGCCGCAGGAUAGCCUGUCCGGAGCGACGAAAGCAGUCAGCGUGUGUAGGGGAUAUUUCGAGCGCGCGGUGUAUGA